rnacentral:rRNA from 1 species
GGAAUCAUAGACAAUGGGGGAAACCCUGAUCUUGCCAUGCCGCGUGAGCGAUGAAGGCCUUAGGGUUGUAAAGCUCUUUCGCCAGGGAUGAUAAUGACAGUACCUGGUAAAGAAACCCCGGCUAACUCCGUGCCAGCAGCCGCGGUAAUACGGAGGGGGUUAGCGUUGUUCGGAAUUACUGGGCGUAAAGCGCACGUAGGCGGAUUGGAAAGUUGGGGGUGAAAUCCCGGGGCUCAACCCCGGAACUGCCUCCAAAACUAUCAGUCUAGAGUUCGAGAGAGGUGAGUGGAAUUCCGAGUGUAGAGGUGAAAUUCGUAGAUAUUCGGAGGAACACCAGUGGCGAAGGCGGCUCACUGGCUCGAUACUGACGCUGAGGUGCGAAAGUGUGGGGAGCAAAC